GUGGGGAAUUUUGGACAAUGGGCGCAAGCCUGAUCCAGCAAUGCCGCGUGCAGGAAGAAGGCCUUCGGGUUGUAAACUGCUUUUGUACGGAACGAAACGGUCCUGGUUAAUACCUGGGGCUAAUGACGGUACCGUAAGAAUAAGCACCGGCUAACUACGUGCCAGCAGCCGCGGUAAUACGUAGGGUGCGAGCGUUAAUCGGAAUUACUGGGCGUAAAGCGUGCGCAGGCGGUGCUGUAAGACAGGCGUGAAAUCCCCGGGCUCAACCUGGGAAUUGGGAUUGUGACUGCAGUGCUGGAGUACGGCAGAGGGGGAUGGAAUUCCGCGUGUAGCAGUGAAAUGCGUAGAUAUGCGGAGGAACACCGAUGGCGAAGGCAGUCCCCUGGGCCUGUACUGACGCUCAUGCACGAAAGCGUGGGGAGCAAACAGGAUUAGAAACCCCAGUAGUCC
rnacentral:rRNA from 1 species